rnacentral:sRNA from 1 species
AUUGGUUUGCUCGCUCCCUUAUGUGAUGAAUCAAUGCUUUCAGAACAGGGGCUUCUGAGUGACUGCGGGAACAAUUACUUCCAAAUGACCUCGUGCAUCUUAUCAGGGAGCAUUCAGACCACACCCCAGGUCUCUGCUGGUGGUUCUGAAGCCAAACCUCUGAUCUUCACAUUUGUCCCCACUGUCAGAAGACUACCAACCCAUACUCAGUUGGCUGACACCUCUAAAUUCCUUGUUAAAAUUCCAGAAGAAUCAAGUGAUAAGAGUCCAGAAACUGUAAAUAGGUCUAAAUCCAAUGACUACUUGACCUUGAAUGCUGGGAGCCAACAAGAGAGAGACCAAGCGAAAUUGACUUGUCCUUCAGAGGUCAGUGGAACGAUUUUACAAGAAAGGGAAUUCGAAGCAAACAAACUUCAAGGGAUGCAGCAAAGUGACCUCUUCAAAGCUGAAUAUGUCCUUAUUGUGGACUCCGAAGGGGAAGAUGAGGCUACAAGCAGAAAAGUUGAACAAGGCCCCGCAGGGGGGAUUGGCACCGCAGCUGUCCGGCCCAAGUCUCUAGCAAUCUCGUCCAGUCUGGUCUCUGAUGUAGUGCGUCCCAAAACACAGGGGACUGAUCUCAAGACCUCAUCACAUCCUGAAAUGCUUCAUCGGAUGGCCCCUCAGCAAAAGCAUGGGCAGUUAACUUCUUCUCCCACUACCUCUGAGCAGCUUGCCUGUAAACCACCUGCUUUCUCCUUUGUUUCUCCAACUAAUCCGAACGCACCACCCGACCCAGUUAACCUCGAGGGAGCCUCUGUCCUAGAGGAGUUCCACACUAGGAGGCUGGAUGUCGGUGGGGCCGUGGUGGAAGAAUCAGCUACGUAUUUUCAAACUACCGCUCACUCUACACCCUUUUCUGCAUCGAAGGGCACCUCCUCGACGUUACUGUUUCCCCAUUCCACUCAACUAUCAGGUUCUAAUUUACCCAGUUCAACUGCAGCAGAUCCAAAGCCUGGACUGACCUCUGAAGUUCUCAAGAAGACAACUUUAACCUCGCAUGUCCUUAGUCGCGGAGAAAGUCCGAGAACCUCUUCUUCUCCACCGUCCUCCAGUGCUUCUCUGAAGUCGAAUUCAGCCUCGUACAUACCAGUCCGCAUUGUCACGCAUUCACUCUCUCCGAGCCCCAAACCAUUUACCUCCUCUUUCCACGGCUCUUCUUCCACCAUCUGCAGCCAAAUGUCAUCUAGUGGAAAUCUUUCAAAGUCAGGGGUAAAAUCCCCGGUGCCUUCCCGGCUUGCCCUUCUCACUGCCAUUCUCAAGUCAAACCCUUCCCACCAAAGACCCUUUUCCCCUGCAUCCUGUCCCACCUUCUCUCUCAACUCCCCGGCCUCUUCCACGCUCACACUUGAUCAAAAAGCAAAGCAGACCCCACCCACGCCUAAAAAAUCUCUCUCAAGUUGUUCCCUGAGAGCCGGGUCACCAGAUCAAGGGGAACUCCAGGUUUCUGAAUUGACCCAGCAAUCUUUUCACCUGCCUGUUUUCACCAAGUCUACUCCGCUUUCUCAAGCGCCCUCCCUCUCUCCUACAAAACAGGCUAGUAGCAGUCUUGCUUCCAUGAAUGUAGAGAGAACACCAUCACCUACUUUGAAGAGCAAUACCAUGCUCUCCCUGCUACAAACCAGUACAUCCAGUUCUGUGGGUCUUCCUCCUGUUCCACCAAGCUCUUCUCUUUCCUCUUUGAAGAGUAAACAGGAUGGUGACCUCAGGGGUCCAGAAAACCCCAGAAACAUUCACACGUACCCUUCUACAUUAGCCUCCUCUGCAUUAUCUUCUCUAUCUCCUCCUAUUAAUCAAAGAGCUACGUUCUCUUCUUCAGAGAAAUGUUUCCAUCCUUCCCCAGCUCUUUCAAGCCUGAUAAACAGAUCUAAAAGAGCGUCAUCCCAACUAUCUGGCCAGGAGCUGAAUCCUUCAGCUCUUCCUUCACUCCCUGUCUCCAGUGCUAACUUUGCCUCUCUUCCCAACUUGAGGUCCUCCUCUCUCCCUCAUGCCAAUCUGCCCACCCUGGUGCCCCAGCUCAGUCCCUCAGCUCUGCACCCACAUUGCGGCAGUGGUACCUUGCCUUCAAGACUUGGGAAAUCUGAAAGCACCACCCCCAACCACAGGUCACCUGUUUCAACCCCAUCACUUCCCAUAUCUCUAACAAGGACAGAGGAGCUGAUUUCACCUUGUGCAUUGUCCAUGUCAACAGGCCCAGAAAAUAAGAAAUCAAAGCAAUACAAGACCAAGUCAAGCUACAAGGCUUUUGCAGCAAUCCCUACAAACACAUUGCUUUUGGAACAGAAGGCACUAGAUGAACCAGCCAAGACUGAAAGUGUCUCCAAGGACAACACAUUAGAACCACCAGUGGAGCUCUAUUUUCCUGCACAGCUCAGGCAGCAAACUGAAGAGCUCUGUGCUACCAUUGAUAAGGUCUUACAGGAUUCCUUGUCUAUGCAUUCUUCUGAUUCUCCUUCAAGGUCCCCAAAGACAUUGUUGGGUUCUGACACAGUCAAAACUCCUACAACUCUUCCAAGAGCAGCUGGUCGAGAAACCAAAUAUGCAAAUCUCUCCUCACCAUCUUCUACAGUAUCUGAGAGUCAGCUGACUAAGCCUGGAGUAAUUCGCCCAGUACCUGUAAAAUCCAGAAUAUUACUGAAAAAAGAGGAGGAAGUCUAUGAACCCAACCCUUUCAGUAAAUAUUUGGAAGAUAACAGCGACCUCUUUUCUGAACAGAUGGAGUUUCGCUCUGUUGUCUAGGCUGGAUCUCAAUGGCGCCAUCUCGGCUCACUGCAACCUCCGCCUCUUGGGUUCAAGCGAUUCUCCUGCCUCAGAAUCCUGAGUAGCUGGGAUUACAGGCGCCUGCCACCACUGCCGGCUAAUUUUUGUAAUUUUAGUAGAGACAGGGUUUCACCAUGCUGGCCAGGCUGGUCUCAAACUCGUGACCUCA